UAAGGGUCUCACCCCAUUCACUACCCCGUGAUUUCUUUACUCACCAAUACUUGAUACUAUCAUGUGCAACACCAUAACCAACCACAAUAAUAGCAUGUUGGUUAUGUUUCACGUUUGUGAUUGUAUUCCGUGUGAACAAAGGUGACAUGAAAACCACCUUUGAAAUGAAGAAGCUUUGCUAGUUUCAGCAUUGGGUUUAUGUGAGCUUGUGCUGGAAAUGGGGAACAUUCUUUGAGUUUGUCUUCC
rnacentral:lncRNA from 1 species